CUUGCCUGACAGUGGUUUCUGACGCCAUCACUAUCACGCCUCGAACCUAGGAGGUGUGGCUGGCACCCGAUGCCGCACUGGCCUGAGCGAACCACUCUGUAACUCAUGAUCAUUUGACCAAAACUUGAACAUACAUAGGUCGAGUUAGCUGAACUCAUUUCACUUGUAACUAUCAUGGACCCAUAUGGCCACAACUCAUAAUGUAUAACUGUAAGUGGGCAACAUUGUAUCAAUAAACUAUCGUUCUUAAAAACAUGAAUACAUAUGGGCCGGCAAGGCCUCUGACAUAUUGUACAAAAUGAACGUUUGUCUACAAAGCCUCUAAGAUUAUUUGACAUAAAAUAGGACAGGGUAACGGCCUACCCAUAAGUCUAUAGUAAAACUCUGACACGAUGAGUCAUAGACUUGGCUGCACUUCGAAUAAGUUGGAGUCUUACCAAUCCUUCGCUGAAUGUCAAUCUCGUCUAUUAUGAGGGCUCGUCAAGCUGAUUAUCUAUACCUGUAAGUCUGAAUAGCUCUGUAAAUCAUGAAAUAUUUAUAAUGUCAUGUAUAUGUGUAUAAAUAACAUGUAAUGCAUAGGUCAGUACGUACAUAACAUCAUCAAGCCUCUGGGGGCACCCCAUUAUAUCAUUUCAGCCACUGUGGGCAUCGUAUACCAGCUGAUCAGGUGGUGGUGCGUAUAUAACGCCGUAACCUUUUCCCAUAUAUAUAUAUAUAUAUACGUGUAUAUAACGCUGUCUGAGUCAUAUUUCAGCCACUGUGGGCAACAUCAUCAUCGCAUACCAACUGAUCAGGUGGUGGUGCAUAUAUAACGCCGUAACCUUUUCUCAUAUCCCAUAUACAUAUAUAUACAUAUAUACGCGUAUAUAACACCGUUUGAGUCGUAUUUCAGCCACUGUAGGCAACAUCAUCAUCGUAUACCAGCAGAUCAGGUGGUGGUGCGUAUAUAACGUCGUAACCUUUUCCCAUAUCCCAUAUAUAUGCGUAUAUAAUGCCAUUUGAUCAUGGGUCAAUGCACAUGUAUAAAUGGGUGAAAUGCAUGAAAAAAAUACGUAAUAAUCUCAAUAUUCCUUCCAGAUAAACUUUUUCAACUGCGUAUUAUUCUAAAAUUCAUGAAUAGAAGAUAAUAAUAAUUUUCAUAGGGAAUCAAGAAUAUAGACACCCCUAAUAUUUCUAUGAAUAGAGUAAUUAUGAAAACUAUGUGUGUGCUCGUUUCUUCGAUAUAAUUUGGACCAUGCCAAAAGAAAGAAGGAAUGACCUUAACAUAUAUACCUAAGCAAGACAUGCUUCAUCUCGUUUAAGCUCAAAAAUAAUGUGUUUGAAGUGUCCUUCAAAUAGUGCUACGAAUACUAGCUAGUUUAAGGAAAAACAAAAGAUUCAAUUAGUGCGCAUAUAAAAUACGUUAUGUCCCAUGGCACAUGAAGAAUCGACUUGAAAAAAAUAUAUAACAAAAACAUCAAUAAUCCACUAACAAUCCUUAUUUAUGUUUUCAUGUCACUUAUGUACUAAAUGAGUGAUAUUCUUGGAUAAUUCUAUUUACGAUCUUUAACUCUUUCAUCUAAAGAGGUAUCAAGUAUUUUACAAAUAUUUUACUUAAUACCUUGUUUCUCCUACUCACAGAGUAUAGUCAUAAGUACGUGAUAUAAAACAGUGUUUCUAGUUGAUACCACAAACCAUAGCCAACACUAGACUAAUUUUUCCAUUUAAAUGUUAGCAGAAUUUUCUAUAAUAACUCAUACAGAUGUUAGCAAAUAUUUUGUGCAAUUGUACAAUUAAACACAGCUUAAAUUACUACGAAUACGUACCACAAUAGUGACAUCGUGCAAACAGGGGUAAUAACCCAUUCACCAUAUUUCUCAUUUUCUUUAAUUAAUCAUCAGCUCUUCACACUUAAUCAGAAUUCUUUGAAUUUGAAACCCAGUCCUCAUUACAGCUCCUCAGUCCCAAAUCUCACGUAAAAUCAAGCAGUGCAUGCUACAAACACCUCAUAAACACAUGGAAUUUACGUUCAUUUGCCCUUUCUUUUUCUCUGUAAAGUGACAUGUGAAUUUGGGUAUAAAAAGAUUGAAAUUUGAGUUUUUGGGAGUUGAAAAUCCAGAGAGAAUGGUUUUAGGUUUCGUGUUUUUAACGGCCAAAAUCAU
rnacentral:lncRNA from 1 species